rnacentral:rRNA from 1 species
UACGUAGGGUCCAAGCGUUAUCCGGAAUCACUGGGCGUAAAGCGUGCGUAGGUGGAUGUUUAAGUGUGAUGUUAAAUCGUGUGGCUCAACCAUAUCGAUGCAUCGCAUACUGGACGUCUAGAGGACAGCAGAGGCAAGUGGAAUUUGUAGUGUAGCAGUGAAAUGCGUAGAUAUUACAAGGAACACCAAUGGCGAAGGCAGCUUGCUGGGCUACUCCUGACACUGAGGUACGAAAGCGUGGGGGAGCGAACAGG